UUCAUGUGAUAGAAUGUAAUUAAAAAAUUAUAACAAUAAUGAGUUUGGAUCUUUAAUUAUAACACGUGCCAUUUCUUCUAUUGUCCUUUUACCGACGGCUAUAAUCUAAAACUCUACAGUAGCAAUAUAGAGUUAAGAAAAUCAGCUUCGUAUACAUACAUGCAUUUCAUUCCAUGCCCAAACCGUCUUAGACCUCUCCUCUUAGCCUGUAAAGACAAAGCAUCAAUAUCUAAAACCCAUGCACUCAUGCUCUUGACCGGCCUCUUCAUGCAUGGAAGCUCCAAUGGUGGACUCAUGACAUCCUACGCAAAUAUAGGCGACAUUAAAUCUGCCCGAAAAGUGUUUGAUGUAUUUCCUCAAAGAGGCGUAGGUGCAUGGAAUGCCAUGAUCGUUGCGUAUUCGCGUAUUGAGUACCCAGUUGAAGUUCUGAAUUUAUAUCGUCAAAUGAUUUUGGAAGGUAUUAGAGCCGAUAGCUCAACUUUCACGGUGGCCAUCAAGGCGUGCACGAGGUUGUUGGAUUUGAAAACAGGGGAGGAAAUUUGGUGUAGAGCGAUGGAUUGUGGGUUUGAGUUUGAUGUGUUUGUUGGAUCUUCUGUUUUGAAUUUGUAUGCAAAGUGUGGGAAGAUGGAUGAAGCAAUCGUGGUCUUUGAUAGGAUGCUGAGAAGGGAUCUUGUCUGUUGGACAACUAUGAUAAGUGGGUUUGUGCAGAGUGGGCGGCCAAUUGAAGCGGUUGAUAUGUAUAGGCGAAUGCAAAAGGAGGGAAUGGAAGGAGAUGGGGUUGUGAUGGUGGGGUUGACACAGGCUUGUGCAAAUCUUGGGGACUUAAAAUUGGGUCUUUCUGUUCAUGGGUAUUUGAUUAGGAAAGAUCUUCCUAUGGAUGUUGUAGUUCAAACUAGCCUCGUGGAUAUGUAUGCCAAGAAUGGACAUUUGAAGCUUGCUUGUCAUGUUUUCAAGAAUAUGCCUUGUAAGAAUGUCAUAUCUUGGGGUGCACUGAUAUCUGGCUUUGCUCAAAAUGGUUUUGCAGGGAAUGCACUUGAUUUAUUGGUAGAGAUGCAGGGUUGCGGAUACAGACCAGAUUUAGUGUCUCUUGUUAGUGCACUUCUAGCAUGUACCCAAGUUGGGUUUUUGAAAUUGGGUAAAUCUAUACACGGAUAUAUUGUGAGAAGGCUUGAUUUUGAUAGUGUUUUAGGUACUGCAGUGAUUGACAUGUAUUCAAAAUGUGGAACACUUUCUUGGGCACGCACUCUCUUUGAUCAGAUAAACUCCAAAGACUCAAUCUCUUGGAAUGCAAUGAUUACCAGCUAUGGAAUUCAUGGGCAUGGAAAAGAAGCUCUGUCUCUCUUCCUAGAGAUGACAAAAACAAAUCUAAAACCAGAUCAUGCCACUUUUUCUUCCCUUCUCUUGGCCUUUAGUCACUCAGGUCUUGUGGAAGAAGGUCAAUACUGGUUUAAUUGUAUGGUUAGUGAAUAUAAAGUCCCUCCAACGGAAAAGCAUUAUGUCUGUAUGGUUGAUCUUUUGGCUCGUGCAGGUCGAGUUGAAGAGGCUUGCGAGCUAAUAGAUUCUAUGAAUGCUGAAUUGGGGCUUGCUGUUUGGGUUGCUCUCCUGGCAGGCUGUUGCAAAAAUGGCAAGUUGUUGAUUGGAGAUAUGGUGCAAAAAAGGUUCUUGAGUUAAAUCCGGAUGACUUGAGAAUUUAUUCUUUGGUCUCAAACUACUAUGCAAAGGCAAGGAAGUGGGAUGAUGUAGCUAGUGUUAGAAAAAUUAUGAAAAAUACGGGGAUGAAGAAAGUGCCAGGGUAUAGUGUAGUGGAAGUGAAAGGAAAACUUCAUGCUUUUCUUAUGGAAGAUAAGAGCCAUCAUCAAUAUGAGAAUAUGAUGCAACUUUUGGAUAAGUUGGAUCAUGAAAUGAGGGCUAUUGGGUAUGUCCCAAAGACUGAAUUUGUGUUGCAUUCUCUUGAUGAGGAAGUCAAAGAAAAAAUGUUAUGUAAUCACAGUGAGAGGCUUGCUAUUGCUUUUGGUCUCUUAAACACAGGGCCUGGAACCAGAUUACUGAUCAUAAAGAACCUUAGGGUGUGUGGGGAUUGCCAUGAAGCAACCAAGUUCAUUACAAAAAUUGUGAACAGAGAGAUUGUUGUGAGGGAUGUGAAGCGAUUUCAUCACUUCAAGAAUGGGAUCUGCUCAUGUGGUGACUACUGGUGAAGCCAAUGUGCAAAGAUUUCCUUUCUCUUUGCUGGAUUUUUCACAGCUGGGGUGUUGAAAUGUCAGGGUUGGAUCUGACAUCUCUUUAGGAAAGCAAGUUGCUAAUAUUAUAAUGGGUAAUGGAAGAGACAAGAAAGCUAACAUCGCAAUUGCAUACUACUACCUGUAAGGUGUGUAUAGAUACAGCUUGGUAACCAGUACAGUGCUUUGAGAUGGUCCCAUCCAACAUAUCCAUAUCCAGCUGGGUUGCUGGCAGAAUUUGGGUGUUGAUAUACAUCUGCCACUUUAUCAAUUUCCCCUUUAUACUAUAUGCAUCAGCUAAGUUCAAAGAGCUUUUAUGGAAAAUGAUAUACUUUCUUUAUUGCUCAUGGUCGAUGCAGAUUGUUGAAAGGAUUUACUUAUGAUUGGAAUGCCAAAGAAAAGGACGUGUGGGGUUUUUUUUAAUCCAAACGUCUUCCCAUAUGCUUAGCAUCAACAAGACUGAUUUGCCACUAACAGCUCCGGUUUUGGGAAGGAUUUAGGCAGUACAUGAGUAAGUUUGGUGAAUUGGAAAAUGUAACAUUGGUGAUGAAGCAAAAUUGCCAAACAAGAUGUUCUCAUGGAUUUGCUUUUGUCCCAUUUAGCACUUCAGAAGGUCCUUAGCUGAACAUACCCAUAAUGAAAGGAUACUUGAGGUUCAAGUUGCUACUCGAAGGCAAGUUUUGUUCCUGGCUCAAAAGAAUUCUUUUCUUCAAAUUGAUUACCAUCUUGAGGUGGAUCCAGUGACAAAACAACGAAUUGGAAUUGGAGUUGAAAUGUAUAGAGAAAUGCAGGAAGUGCAGCUAGAGUUUUAUAAAGAUUUUGAAUUCUGGUUUUAUUA